rnacentral:rRNA from 1 species
AGAGUUUGAUCCUGGCUCAGAUUGAACGCUGGCGGCAUGCUUUACACAUGCAAGUCGAACGGCAGCACGGGUGCUUGCACUUGGUGGCGAGUGGCGGACGGGUGAGUAAUACAUCGGAACGUAUCCUAAAGUGGGGGAUAACGCAUCGAAAGAUGUGCUAAUACCGCAUACACUCUGAGGAGGAAAGUAGGGGAUCGAAAGACCUUAUGCUUUUGGAGCGGCCGAUGUCUGAUUAGCUAGUUGGUAAGGUAAUGGCUUACCAAGGCAACGAUCAGUAGUUGGUCUGAGAGGACGACCAGCCACACUGGGACUGAGACACGGCCCAGACUCCUACGGGAGGCAGCAGUGGGGAAUUUUGGACAAUGGGCGCAAGCCUGAUCCAGCAAUGCCGCGUGAGUGAAGAAGGCCUUCGGGUUGUAAAGCUCUUUCAGUUGAGAAGAAAAGAUUGUGACUAAUAAUUGCAAUUCAUGACGGUAUCAACAGAAGAAGCACCGGCUAACUACGUGCCAGCAGCCGCGGUAAUACGUAGGGUGCGAGCGUUAAUCGGAAUUACUGGGCGUAAAGGGUGCGCAGGCGGUUCUGUAAGUCAGAUGUGAAAUCCCCUGACUCGGCCUGAGGUACUGGCGUUUGAAACUACUGAGUCUGGCAGUGUGGCAGUAGGGGGGUAGGAGUAUACGCGUGUGUCACCAGUGAUAUGCGUCGAGAUAUAGAAGAGAUAUCUAUGGCGAAGUGGAGCCCCCUCGCUUCAUCACUGACUCUCAUGCACGAAAGAGUGGGGAGCGAACAGAGAUUAGAUAGACUCGGUAUUCACUCACCCUAAUCAAUGUCAACUAGUGGGUUGGGCCUUAUCAGAUUUCGUCAACGUAGAUAAUGUCGUGAAGUAGACCGCUUGCGGAGUACGGUGGCAAGAUUAAAAAUCAAAAUGAAUUGACGAGGAGCCGCCCACGCCGUGGGUUAUGUGGUUUUUAUUUAUUUAACGCGAAAAGCACUACCUUUCCCCUACAUGUCGGAGAAUGUUUAGAGAUGAGUUAGUGUCCGUAAGGGAAUCUGAACACAGGUCUGCAUGGCUGUCGUCAGCUCGUGUCGUGAGAUGUUGGGUUAAGUCCCGCAACGAGCGCAACGCUUGUCAUUAAUUUCCAUCAUUUAGUUGGGCACCUUAAUGAAACUGCCGGGCCAAACCGGAGGAAGGGGGGGAUGACGUCAAGUCCUCCUGGCCCUUAUGGGUCGGGCUUCCCCCCUAAUACCAAGGGGGGUACCGGAGGGGGCCAACCCGGGAGGGGGAGCCAUUUCCGAAAACCCCUUCUAAUUCCGGUCGGAGUUUUCAACUUGGUUCCCAGAAGUUGGAAUCGUUAGUAAUCGUGGAUCAGCAUGUCGCGGUGAAUUCGUUCCCGGGUCUUGUACCCCCCCCCCGUCCCCCCCUGGGAGGGGGUUUCCCCCGAAGCCGGUAGUCUAAACGUAAGGAGGGCGCGUGUCACGGGAGAUUCAUGACUGGGUAAGUCGUAACAAGGUAACC